CAGUCGCCGCGGUAAUCCGUAGGUGGCAAGCGUUGUCCGGAAUUAUUGGGCGUAAAGCGCGCGCAGGUGGUUUAAUAAGUCUGAUGUGAAAGCCCACGGCUCAACCGUGGAGGGUCAUUGGAAACUGUUAAACUUGAGUGCAGGAGAGAAAAGUGGAAUUCCUAGUGUAGCGGUGAAAUACGUAGAGAUUAGGAGGAACACCAGUGGCGAAGGCGGCUUUUUGGCCUGUAACUGACACUGGGGCGCGAAAGCGUGGGGAGCAAACAGGAUUAGAUACCCCAGUAGUCCCUGUCUCUUAUAC
rnacentral:rRNA from 1 species